UACGAAGGGGGCUAGCGUUGUUCGGAAUCACUGGGCGUAAAGUGCACGUAGGCGGAUCUUUAAGUCAGGGGUGAAAUCCCGAGGCUCAACCUCGGAACUGCCUUUGAUACUGGGGAUCUCGAGUCCGGGAGAGGUGAGUGGAACUGCGAGUGUAGAGGUGAAAUUCGUAGAUAUUCGCAAGAACACCAGUGGCGAAGGCGGCUCACUGGCCCGGAACUGACGCUGAGGUGCGAAAGCGUGGGGAGCAAACAGG
rnacentral:rRNA from 1 species